CUCAGGACGAACGCUGGCGGCGUGCUUAACACAUGCAAGUCGAACGAUGAAGCCUUUCGGGGUGGAUUAGUGGCGAACGGGUGAGUAACACGUGGGCAAUCUGCCCUUCACUCUGGGACAAGCCCUGGAAACGGGGUCUAAUACCGGAUAAUACUUUCUCUCUCAUGGGGGAAGGUUAAAAGCUCCGGCGGUGAAGGAUGAGCCCGCGGCCUAUCAGCUAGUUGGUGGGGUAAUGGCCUACCAAGGCGACGACGGGUAGCCGGCCUGAGAGGGCGACCGGCCACACUGGGACUGAGACACGGCCCAGACUCCUACGGGAGGCAGCAGUGGGGAAUAUUGCACAAUGGGCGAAAGCCUGAUGCAGCGACGCCGCGUGAGGGAUGACGGCCUUCGGGUUGUAAACCUCUUUCAGCAGGGAAGAAGCGAAAGUGACGGUACCUGCAGAAGAAGCGCCGGCUAACUACGUGCCAGCAGCCGCGGUAAUACGUAGGGCGCAAGCGUUGUCCGGAAUUAUUGGGCGUAAAGAGCUCGUAGGCGGCUUGUUGCGUCGGUUGUGAAAGCCCGGGGCUUAACCCCGGGUCUGCAGUCGAUACGGGCAGGCUAGAGUGUGGUAGGGGAGAUCGGAAUUCCUGGUGUAGCGGUGAAAUGCGCAGAUAUCAGGAGGAACACCGGUGGCGAAGGCGGAUCUCUGGGCCAUUACUGACGCUGAGGAGCGAAAGCGUGGGGAGCGAACAGGAUUAGAUACCCUGGUAGUCCACGCCGUAAACGUUGGGAACUAGGUGUUGGCGACAUUCCACGUCGUCGGUGCCGCAGCUAACG
rnacentral:rRNA from 1 species